CUUUAUUUUUGAAAAACUAUUAGAUUUUUAGAAAAAUAUUUUUUGAUCCUUUGAAGUUUCAUCAUUUUUUAUAUGGCCUUGUUUGCUUUGAAUAUUUGCAAUUGAACUCUCAUCUUAGUUUUUUGAUGCAAUAAGAUACCAUUUUCUAUUAGGUAGGCAUUUUGAAAUUCUGUCACAUAACUAUCAUGUGAUAACUUAAAAAUACUUUAAGACUGAAAUACACUUCUAUCAUUCAAGGGAGAG
rnacentral:lncRNA from 1 species